GACAGCAGCAGCCGCGGGAAUACGAAGGGUGCAAGCGUUAAUCGGAAUUACUGGGCGUAAAGCGUGCGUAGGCGGUUUGUUAAGUCUGCUGUGAAAUCCCCGGGCUCAACCUGGGAAUGGCAGUGGAUACUGGCAAGCUAGAGUGUGUCAGAGGAUGGUGGAAUUCCCGGUGUAGCGGUGAAAUGCGUAGAGAUCGGGAGGAACAUCAGUGGCGAAGGCGGCCAUCUGGGACAACACUGACGCUGAGGCACGAAAGCGUGGGGAGCAAACAGGAUUAGAUACCCGUGUAGUCCCUGUCUCUUAUAA
rnacentral:rRNA from 1 species